rnacentral:tRNA from 1 species
UGGGGGAUCGUUCAGUGGAAGGACAACGGACUCUGACUCCGUGAACCCAGGUUCGAAUCCUGGUCCCCCAGCCA